CCUACGGGUGGCAGCAGUGGGGAAUAGUGCACAAUGGGGGGAACCCUGAUGCAGCGACGCCGCGUGAGUGAAGAAGGAUUUCGGGAUGUAAAGCUCUAUCAGCAGGGAAGAAAAGGACGGUACCUGACUAAGAAGCCCCGGCUAACUACGUGCCAGCAGCCGCGGUAAUACGUAGGGGGCAAGCGUUAUCCGGAUUUACUGGGUGUAAAGGGAGCGUAGACGGUUAUGCAAGUCUGAAGUGAAAGCCCAAGGCUCAACCAUGGGACUGCUUUGGAAACUGUAAAACUGGAGUGCAGGAGAGGUAAGCGGCAUUCCUCGUGUCGCCGUGACAUGCGUAGAUAUUCGGAGGAACACCAGUGGCGACGGCGGCUUACUGGACUGUACCUGACGUUGAGGCUCGAAGGCGUGGGGAGCAAACAGGAUUAGAUACCCUAGUAGUC
rnacentral:rRNA from 1 species